rnacentral:rRNA from 1 species
UACGUAGGGGGCAAGCGUUGUCCGGAAUCACUGGGCGUAAAGGGCGCGUAGGCGGCGCGAGCAGUCGAUCGUGAAAGUCCGGAGCUCAACUCCGGAUCGGCGGUCGAUACUCUCGUGCUUGAGCACUGUAGAGGCAGAUGGAAUUCCGGGUGUAGCGGUGGAAUGCGUAGAGAUCCGGAAGAACACCGGUGGCGAAGGCGGUCUGCUGGGCAGUUGCUGACGCUAAUGCGCGACAGCGUGGGGAGCAAACAGG